UCUGGUUGAUCCUGCCAGUAGUUAUAUGCUUGUCUCAAAGAUUAAGCCAUACAUGUCUAAGUACUAACGAAUAAAAAGUGAAACCGCAAAAGGCUCAUUAUAUCAGUUAUGGUUCCUUAGAUCGUUAACAGUUAAUUGGAUAACUGUGGUAAUUCUAGAGCUAAUACAUGCAAUUAAAACAUGAACCUUAUGGGACAUGUGCUUUUAUUAGGCUAAAACCAAGCGAUCACAAGCGUUCGUUAUAUUGGUUGAACCCUAGAUAACAUGCAGAUCGAUGACAGAUCUUUCAAAUGUCUGCCCUAUCAACUUUUGAUGGUAGUAACUAGGACUACCAUGGUUGCAACGGGAAACGGGCAAUCAGGGUUCGAUUCCGGAGAGGGAGCCUAAGAAACUUCUACCACAUCUAAGGAAGACAGCAGGCGCGUAAGUUACCCACUCCCAGCUCGGGGAGGUAGUGACGAAAAAUAACAAUACAGGACUCAUAUCCGAGGCCCUGUAAUUGGAAUGAGUACACUUUAAAUCCUUUAACAAGGACCAAUUGGAGGGCAAGUCUGGUGCCAGCAGUCGCGGUAAUUCCAGCUCCAAUAGCGUAUAUUAAAGUUGUUGCGGUUAAAACGUUCGUAGUUGAACUUGUGUUUCAUACGGGUAGUACAACUUACAAUUGUGGUUAGUACUAUACCUUUAUGUAUGUAAGCGUAUUACCGGCGGAGUUCUUAUAUGUGAUUAAAUACUUGUAUUUUUUCAUAUGUUCCUCCUAUUUAAAAAUCUGCAUUAGUGCUCUUAAACGAGUGUUAUUGUGGGCCGGUACUAUUACUUUGAACAAAUAAGAGUGCUUAAAGCAGUCUUCAAAUGCCUGAAUAUCCUGUGUAUUCUGAUAAUGAAAUAAGACCUCUGUUCUGCUUUCAUUGGUUUUAGAUCAAGAGGUAAUGAUUAAUAGAAGCAUUUGGGGGCAUUAGUAUUACGACGCGAGAGGUGAAAUUCUUGGACCGUCUUAAGACUAACUUAAGCGAAAGCAUUUGCCAAAGAUGUUUUCAUUAAUCAAUAACGAAAGUUAGAGGUUCGAAAGCGAUCAGAUACCGCCCUAGUUCUAACCAUAAACGAUGCCAGCUAGCAAUUGGGUGUAGCUACUUUUAUGGCUCUCUCAGUCGCUUCCCGGGAAACCAAAGCUUUUGGGCUCCGGGGGAAGUAUGGUUGCAAAGCUGAAACUUAAAGGAAUUGACGGAAGGGCACCACCGGCAUAAUUUGAAUCAGCACAGGAAAACUUACAGUUUGAUAGCUCUUUCUCGAAUCUAUGGGUGGUGAUGCAUGGCCGUUCUUAGUUCCUGGAGUGAUUUGUCUGGCUAAUUCCGAUAAGAACGAUACUCAAAUAUAUUAAAUAGAUAUCUUCAGGAUUAUGGUGCCGAAGCUUAUAUUGCCUUAUUGUGUUUGAAUGUGUUUAUGUAAGAGGAGCCGUACCUGUUGGUUUGUCUCCUUAUAAGGUCACUAGCUUCUUAAAUGGACAAAUUGCGUCUAGCAAUAAUGAGAUUGAGCAAUAACAGGUCUGAGCUGCACGCGCGCUACAAUAAAAAUCAACGUGUAUUUCCUAGACCGAGAAGUCCGGGUAAACCGCUGAACCGUUUUCAUGCUUGGGAUUGUGAACUGAAACUGUUCACAUGAACUUGGAAUUCCCAGUAAGUGGGAGUCAUUAACUCGCAUUGAUUACGUCCCUGCCCUUUGUACACACCGGCCGUCGCUACUACCGAUUGAAUUAUUUAGUGAGGUCUCCGGACGUGAUCACUGUGACGCCUUGCGUGUUACGGUUGUUUCGUAAAAAUUGACCGAACUUGAUUAUUUAGAUGAAGUAAAAGUCGUUACAAGGUUUCCGUAGGUGAACCUGCGGAAG
rnacentral:rRNA from 1 species